AGAAAGAAAGCAGAGAAGGAAGAAGGAAGGACGGAUUAGAAAGAAGGCAGAGAAGGAAGAAGGAGGAAGGGAGGAAGGAUUAGAAGAUAAAAGGAAGGAAACUUUAGAAAGAGGGCAGAGAAGGAAGAAAGAGGGAGGGGGCCUGUAGGGGCGCGAUGGCUCAGCAAUUAAAGAUGCUGACAGCCCGGGUUCGAGCCUCGAGUUCCACGCAACAGGCUGAGCUCCCGUUCCUUGCUCCAGCUCCUGCCCACCUAGCAGUUCAAAAGCAUGGAAAUGCAAGUAGAUAAAUAGGUACCACUUCGGUGGGAAGAUAAGUGUGUUCCAUGUACCUCGGUGUUUAGCCAUGAUGGCCACUUGACCAUAGAAGCAUCUUUGGACAAUGCUGGCUCCCUUGGCUAAGAAACACAAAGGAGAACUGCCCUCUAGAGCCAGACAUGAUUGGACAAGGGAAACCUUUACCUUCGCGAUGUGAGCCCAGUCAACAGCUGUGUGGUUCCAACUAUAAUUUGCACAGAGUCUACACCAGAAGAAUUUUCCAGCAUGUAAUCUACAGUAAUACACAAGACAACAAUUCAGACACAUAAUAAGUUUAUUAUGGUAUAUGGCAAACAUCA